AAGUCGUAACAAGGUCUCCGUAGGUGAACCUGCGGAGGGAUCAUUAACACAUGAAAGACACGAGUUGCACAUGAAAGUGAGCGUCUCGCGUUCUUUUGUUUUCCCUAUACACCCAUCUACCGUGAACUAGUAUGCCUUUUUUCUAGCAUGAUUUUCGAAUCUGCUGGUUUGUUUGCUAUUUUUAUGCAAAACCUUUUCCAAUUUUUGAAUUGAACAGUGUUCUUGUUUUAUACUAGUGUGAGUGUAAGCUCUUUCUAGUAUGAACUAGCAUGUUUUUUAACAUUUAGAGUACAACUCUUAGCAACGGAUAUCUUGGUUCUCGCUACGAUGAAAAACGCAGC
rnacentral:misc_RNA from 1 species